UACGAAGGGGGCUAGCGUUGCUCGGAAUUACUGGGCGUAAAGCGCACGUAGGCGGCUUUCUAAGUCGGGGGUGAAAUCCUGGAGCUCAACUCCAGAACUGCCUUCGAUACUGGAGAGCUCGAGUCCGGGAGAGGUGAGUGGAACUGCGAGUGUAGAGGUGAAAUUCGUAGAUAUUCGCAAGAACACCAGUGGCGAAGGCGGCUCACUGGCCCGGUACUGACGCUGAGGUGCGAAAGCGUGGGGAGCAGACAGG
rnacentral:rRNA from 1 species